rnacentral:rRNA from 1 species
CCUACGGGAGGCAGCAGUGGGGAAUAUUGCGCAAUGGGCGAAAGCCUGACGCAGCGACGCCGCGUGAGGGAUGAAGGUCUUCGGAUCGUAAACCUCUGUCAGCAGGGAAGAACGGUCACUGUGCUAAUCAGCAGUGAAUUGACGGUACCUGCAAAGGAAGCACCGGCUAACUCCGGGACAGCAGCCGCGGUAGUACGGAGGGUGCGAGCGUUAAUCGGAAUUACUGGGCGUAAAGCGCUCGUAGGCGGUAUGUCAAGUCAAGGGUGAAGUCCCCGCGCUCAACGUGGGAACUGCCUUUGAAACUGGCAAACUGGAGUGUGUGAGAGGAUAGUGGAAUUCCAGGUGUAGGAGUGAAAUCCGUAGAUAUCUGGAGGAACAUCAGUGGCGAAGGCGACUAUCUGGCACAUAACUGACGCUGAGGAGCGAAAGCGUGGGUAGCAAACAGGAUUAGAUACCCGGGUAGUC